GCCAUGUCCUUUAAAGUUCCUUGUGGCCAUUUAUACACUUUGUAAGGAUGCACUUUAUACAGCUAUCUGGUCACCAAGAGACAACGAGGAGAAGAGUGCUUCAGCAUUCUUAUUUUUUCACAGGAGGAAUUAGGGCAUUUAGACCAUGGUUAACAAAUAAUAUUUCUAACCAAAGAACUAACAUCCUAAUCAGAAUCAGUUGUGUACGUAUUUCUGUCACUGUUUAGAGUUCCUGCUCUCUGAGGACACAACACUACUCAAGACCAAGGCACAGAUCCAAGCACAGAUGGACAGCAGCAUACAGUGCUGAGCCAUUCCAGUCUGAAGCAGAAUGGAUAAUGCUUGGGUAGAAAAUAUGCAGUUUUGCAGCUGUCAUAGAAGCUGCAGGUGGGAGGAUUGUUCUCUUGGACAUGGAGAAGUUUCUUGAUGAGAUUUGGAUUCUUUUUCUUCAACUGAAACUACUUCUUUGUCUGAGACACUGAGAUACUUUUAUGAAAUGGUGAUAUGUGAAGACUGGAAGAA